GGUGGUUCUGCUCCUGAGGCCUGGACGGGGGCUCCUCCUGCGGAGACUGGGCCCAGCUGAGCCUGUGGGUCCACCUCUCGAUUGCCCAAGUUUGCAUCUAUCCAGUGACAAGGACCAUCUCCUUGGAGCUGGGGCUGAUGCGGGGGCUAGGACAGUUUGAGUGGAGGUGGCUGUGGGCCUUCCAGGCCCAGGACCCUGCCUGUGCCCUGGCAGGUGGACUCGCUCUGCCUUCCGUUUUUGUUUUUUUUUUUUUGAGAUGGAGUCUCGUUCUGUCACCCAGGCGGGAGUACAGUGGUGCGAUCUUGGCUCACUGCAACCUCCACCUCCCAGGUUCAAGCAGUUCUCCCACCUCAGCCUCCAGAGUAGCUGGGAUUACAGUCAUCUGCCACCACGCCUAGCUAAUUUUUGUAUUUUUAGUAGAGACGGGGUUUCACCAUGUUGGCCAGGCUGGUCACAAACUCCUGACCUCAGGUGAUCCACCUGCCUCGGCCUCCCAAAGUGCUGGGAUAUAGGCAUGAGCCACUUGCGGCCAGCCUUGCUCUGCCUUCCUGACAGUGCAGACCUCGCUCCUGGAGGGCUAGACCCCUCCGACUCGCCCUAAAGUCUCUCAGCAACUAGAAUGCACGGGGCCAUUCGGAACACUUACAUCUGGAAAGGUGAAGGAGGGGUUGGCCGCCCCUCCACGGCUCUGCCAUCUUCCGGCUCUUUCUCUAAGGCCUGUCCUUUGAGUUCCUAGAUGAAUACCCAGCAAGUCACAGUUCAGGCCUAGCAGCCGACUGGCCAACGGCCAAGAGCAGCCUACCACUGCAGCCUUCCAGGAGAGAGGCCCACCACUGCGGCCCCCAGGAGAGAGGCCCACCACUGCCGCCCCCCGGGAGAGAGGCCCACCACUGCCGCCCCCCGGGAGAGAGGCCCACCACUGCCGCCCCCCGGGAGAGAGGCCUACCCUCUGCGGCCCGCCGGGAAGGCACUGUUUCUGCCGUCCCCCAUGUCUGAGGUUCCCAAGGCCACGGGGACCCCACCAGUGCAGGCCCACAUUCAGGUAGGGGAGGCUCACACUGUGCCCCUCCCACGUGGCCACACGGGGUCAGGCCAGUGGCUGAUGUGCUCCUUGCUGUCAUUAUCCUACUUUCUUUUUUUUUUUUUGAGACGGAGUCUCGCUCUGUCGUCCAGGCUGGAUUGCAGUGGCGCAAUCUCGGCUCAUUGCAAGCUCCGCCUCCCGGGUUCACGCCAUUCUCCUGCCUCAGCCUCUCUGAGUAGCUGGGACUACAGGCGCCCGCCACUAUGCCCGGCUAAUUUUUUUUGUAUUUUUAGUAGAGACGGGGUUUCACCGUGGUCUCGAUCUCCUGACCUCGUGAUCCACCCGCCUCGGCCUCCCAAAGUGCUGGGAUUACAGGCGUGAGCCACCGUAUCCUACUUUCAAGACUCACCUGCUUCCUCCGUAGAGGUCGCAAAGAGCCCUCGAGGCCCAGCCACAGACACCUGCCUGAGCCCUCAGCAGCUGGUGGCCCAGCAGUGUGGUCACGACGCCCUCUCUGCAAACGCCCUCCCCAGAGGGUUUCAUGCCGGACUCUGCUGCCCUUACCUUGACG